CCAGUGGCAUCCGUGCGUCCGUGGGUGGAGGAGCUCAGAUAUCGUUGUUAGAGAAGCAGUGUGGUGAAGCAGGCCAUGAAGAGCUCAGUGUUGUGGGUCCUCCUCCUCGCUGCCCAGGCUCGCGGCAGCUUGCUCGAUGGCCUUCACCACCACCAUGGUGAACACAGCCACGGGGAACACAUCCAUGGUGAACACAGCCACGGGGAACACACCCAUGGUGAACACAGUCACGCAGGAGAACAUAAUCAUGGCCACCACAGCCAUGGAGAAGAACAAGUUCCUGUAGACCAUAACAGAAUCAGAGAACCGGUAUAUGGAGAACGUAUUCGCAGUGAAGAACAAGGUCGGACUGCGGACAAUAACAGAGAAGAACAUCAUAACAACCGGAGCCACACCACCAUAAACAAGCAGGAACGCCUGGUCACCGCCGUCGCCUCUGACCUCAGCGGCUUCCUUGACCUCCCGCCAGCUGACUCGGAUUCAUCUGCUGACCAACUCCAGAACUUUGACCCUUUGACCUUUGACCCGCCAGCAACUGAGGUCAACCAGCAGUUCGACCUUUCAACGAGCACCUUCAACCAGGGCUUUGACCACCCAGCCACUGAGGUCAACCUACAACGUGACCUUCCAGUGAACGAAUUUAACCAGGGCUUUAACCAAACAAUAAAUGAGGUCAAUCAGCAGUUUGAAUCGUCAUCAAACCAGUUGAAUCAGGGCUUUGACCAUCCUGUGCAAGACGUCAGCCAAGGCUUUGACCAUCCUGUAGAAGACGUCAGCCAAGGCUUUGACCAUCCUGUAGAAGACGUCAGCCAAGGCUUUGACCAUCCUGUAGAAGACGUCAGCCAAGGCUUUGACCAUCCUGUAGAAGACGUCAGCCAAGGCUUUGACCAUCCUGUAGAAGACGUCAGCCAAGGCUUUGACCAUCCUGUAGAAGACGUCAGCCAAGGCUUUGACCAUCCUGUAGAAGACGUCAGCCAAGGCUUUGACCAUCCUGUACAAGACGUCAGCCAAGGCUUUGACCAUCCUGUACAAGACGUCAGCCAAGGCUUUGACCAUCCUGUACAAGACGUCAGCCAAGGCUUUGACCAUCCUGUACAAGACGUCAGCCAAGGCUUUGACCAUCCUGUGGAAGACGUCAGCCAAGGCUUUGACCAUCCUGUGGAAGACGUCAGCCAAGGCUUUGACCAUCCUGUGGAAGACGUCAGCCAAGGCUUUGACCAUCCUGUGGAAGACGUCAGCCAAGGCUUUGACCAUCCUGUGGAAGACGUCAGCCAAGGCUUUGGCCAUCCUGUACAAGACGUCAGCCAAGGCUUUGAUCAAAGAGUUAAUGAAGACAAUUAUGCGUUUGACGUUAGAGCAAAAGACAUUAACCAGCAGCUUGACCUCUCCAGUGACGCUCCAGCACCACUGACCUCUGACCCAGCUCAGGCCCGCACUAACUACCCCACACAGACCAGUGAACCACUGACCUCUGACCCAGCUCAGGCCCCCACUAACUACCCCACACAGACCAGUGAACCUCUGACCUCUGACCCAGCUCAGGCCCGCACUAACUACCCCACACAGACCAGUGAACCACUGACCUCUGACCCAGCUCUGGCCCGCACUAACUACCCCACACAGACCAGUGAACCACUGACCUCUGACCCAGCUCAGGCCCGCACUAACUACCCCACACAGACCAGUGAACCACUGACCUCUGACCCAGCUCAGGCCCGCACUAACUACCCCAAACAGACCAGUGAACCACUGACCUCUGACCCAGCUCAGGCCCGCACUAACUACCCCACACAGACCAGUGAACCACUGACCUCUGACCCAGCUCAGGCCCGCACUAACUACCCCACACAGACCAGUGAACCACUGACCUCUGACCCAGCUCAGGCCCGCACUAACUACCCCAAACAGACCAGUGAACCACUGACCUCUGACCCAGCUCAGGCCCGCACUAACUACCCCACACAGACCAGUGCUAACGACUCCGUGCGGGCCAGAACCAAUGGUUCCGUUCAGACCUUUGUGUACGACCCCGCGCAAGCCCUGAUUGAGGACGACCCCACACGCAGCCAAGUGAACAAUCCUGCACAGGAACCUGCCUACGACCCAACACAGGCUCUUGCGAACGACUUCACGCGCGCCCGUGCUAAUGACCCAACCACGACCCUCGUGACGACCCCAGCCAGUGACCCCACAAGGACCCCAGCCAGUGACCCCAGGAAGAGCUCUGCCAGACCUGAGGAUGCCGCCAGGGCUGACGGAGUUGUCACUCAGGAACAAGAGUCAGCAGGAGGCGGGGCCAAGGAGCUGAAACCUGCGGCCAGGGGCUCGACCAGGGGCUCGAGUGACUACCCGCAGUACUCCAUGGUGCCGAGGACGACCUUCUCCUGUAGCGACCAUCAGCAUGGCGGCUACUACGCCGACCCCGAGGCUCAGUGUCAGGUGUUCCACGUGUGCCUGAACGGUGGGAAGAUGGGGUCGUUCCUGUGCCCCAACGGGACGCUCUUCAACCAGAACUACUUCGUCUGUGACUGGUGGUUCAACGUCGACUGUGCAAGCGCCGCCAACAAGUACGACCUCAACGCGGCCAUUGGGGUCGUCCCUCCACGCAACUAGUGACCCUUCACCAUGUGUAAUGGUCGUCCGGGUGAUCUUGGCCGGAUACCGACGUUGUAACGCUUCAGUAAUCCGUUAAAGAACACUGAAGUUCCCCAUCAAAAAUAUUAUAAAGAAAAUGGAUAUGGUGAAGAAGGGGGACUAAAGAGGACGGAGUUCCGUCCACAAGCUGGUCUUGACAUUUCUAUAAAUAAAUAAUAUUUACUUCUGGGCAUAAACAAUGUCGACAAUAUUAUGUUUGUCUUGUGUGUGGUUACAUAUAAUUGCGUUCAUGUAUGCAUCCGUGUGUGUUUGUGUAUGUAUUCACCGUCCGUGUGUGUUUGUGUAUGUAUUCACCGUCCGUGUGUGUCUGUGCAUUCUGUAUUCUCUUCCUGUGCCAUAGACCCAAUGGCGACGUGUUGACGUAAUGGGUCGUGACGUCAUAUGUGGCAACCAAUAACCCUUCACGACGAUAAACGUGACGUCAUCAACAACCAAUAGCGUAACGAACCAACAGUUCAUGACGUAAUUUUCUCGGUUGCAUCAUGUUCUAUGUAGCCUAAAGUGCAAUGUAUGUUGGUAGUACAUGUGACGUCAUGUUGCUGGUUGACCAAUAGUGCCUUCUUCGUGGUAAGAUAUGUGACGUCAAGUUGCUGGUUGACCAAUAGUGGCCGUCUCAAUGAUAAUACACGUGACGUCAUGUACCUGGUCGACCAAUAACAGCCUUCCCAGAGGUGAGACGUGACGUCAUGUACCUGGUCGACCAAUAACAGCCUUCCCAGAGGUGAGACGUGACGUCAUGUACCUGGUCGACCAAUAACAGCCUUCCCAGAGGUGAGACGUGACGUCAUGUACCUGGUCGACCAAUAACAGCCUUCCCAGAGGUGAGACGUGACGUCAUGUACCUGGUCGACCAAUAACAGCCUUCCCAGAGGUGAGACGUGACGUCAUGUACCUGGUCGACCAAUAACAGCCUUCCCAGAGGUAAGACGUGACAUCAUGUACCUGGUCGACCAAUAACAGCCUUCCCAGAGGUAAGACGUGACGUCAUGUACCUGGUCGACCAAUAACAGCCUUCCCAGAGGUGAGACGUGGCGUCAUGUACCUGGUCGACCAAUAACAGCCUUCCCAGAGGUGAGACGUGGCGUCAUGUACCUGGUCGACCAAUACCAGCCUUCCCAGAGGUGAGACGUGGCGUCAUGUACCUGGUCGACCAAUAACAGCCUUCCCAGAGGAGAGACGUGGCGUCAUGUACCUGGUCGACCAAUAACAGCCUUCCCAGAGGUGAGACGUGGCGUCAUGUACCUGGUCGACCAAUAACAGCCUUCCCAGAGGUGAGACGUGGCGUCAUGUACCUGGUCGACCAAUACCAGCCUUCCCAGAGGUGAGACGUGGCGUCAUGUACCUGGUCGACCAAUAACAGCCUUCCCAGAGGAGAGACGUGGCGUCAUGUACCUGGUCGACCAAUAACAGCCUUCCCAGAGGUGAGACGUGGCGUCAUGUACCUGGUCGACCAAUAACAGCCUUCCCAGAGGUGAGACGUGACGUCAUGUACCUGGUCGACCAAUAACAGCCUUCCCAGAGGAGAGACGUGGCGUCAUGUACCUGGUCGACCAAUACCAGCCUUCCCAGAGGUGAGACGUGACGUCAUGUACCUGGUCGACCAAUAACAGCCUUCCCAGAGGUGAGACGUGACGUCAUGUACCUGGUCGACCAAUAACAGCCUUCCCUGAGGAGAGACGUGACGUCAUGUACCUGGUCGACCAAUACCAGCCUUCCCAGAGGAGAGACGUGACGUCAUGUACCUGGUCGACCAAUACCAGCCUUCCCAGAGGAGAGACGUGACGUCAUGUACCUGGUCGACCAAUACCAGCCUUCCCAGAGGUGAGACGUGGCGUCAUGUACCUGGUCGACCAAUAACAGCCUUCCCAGAGGAGAGACGUGACGUCAUGUACCUGGUCGACCAAUAACAGCCUUCCCAGAGGAGAGACGUGACGUCAUGUACCUGGUCGACCAAUAACAGCCUUCCCAGAGGAGAGACGUGGCGUCAUGUACCUGGUCGACCAAUAACAGCCUUCCCAGAGGAGAGACGUGACGUCAUGUACCUGGUCGACCAAUAACAGCCUUCCCAGAGGAGAGACGUGACGUCAUGUACCUGGUCGACCAAUAACAGCCUUCCCAGAGGUGAGACGUGACGUCAUGUACCUGGUCGACCAAUAACAGCCUUCCCAGAGGAGAGACGUGACGUCAUGUACCUGGUCGACCAAUAACAGCCUUCCCAGAGGAGAGACGUGACGUCAUGUACCUGGUCGACCAAUAACAGCCUUCCCAGAGGAGAGACGUGACGUCAUGUACCUGGUCGACCAAUAACAGUGUGUCUGUGUUUCGUGUGAAUCUGUGUUAAUAUUUUAUUCUGGUAAUAAAAUAUGUUUAUAUAAAA
rnacentral:misc_RNA from 1 species